rnacentral:misc_RNA from 1 species
GAUGAAGAACGCAGCGAAAUGCGAUAAGUAAUGCGAAUUGCAGAAUUUCCGUGAGUCAUCGAAUCUUUGAACGCACAUUGCGCCCUCUGGUAUUCCGGGGGGCAUGCCUGUUCGAGCGUCAUUAUAACCACUCAAGCUCUCGCUUGGUAUUGGGACUCGCGGUUCCGCGGCCCCUAAAAUCAGUGGCGGUGCCUGUCGGCUCUACGCGUAGUAAUACUCCUCGCGAUUGAGUCCGGUAGGUCUACUUGCCAACAACCCCCAAUUUUUACAGGUUGACCUCGGAUCAGGUAGGGAUACCCGCUGAACUUAAGCAUAUCAAUAAGCGGAGGA